AACGAACGCUGGCGGCAGGCCUAACACAUGCAAGUCGAACGAGAAGCUUCUUUCGGGAAGUGGAGAGUGGCGCACGGGUGAGUAACGCGUGGGAAUUUGCCUUCUGGUACGGGAUAACGUUUGGAAACGAACGCUAAUACCGUAUAUCUACUACGGUAGAAAGAUUUAUCGCCAGGAGAUGAGCCCGCGUAGGAUUAGAUAGUUGGUGGGGUAAAGGCCUACCAAGUCGACGAUCUUUAGCUGUUCUGAGAGGAAGAUCAGCCACACUGGAACUGAGACACGGUCCAG
rnacentral:rRNA from 1 species